AUUGAACGCUGGCGGAAUGCUUUACACAUGCAAGUCGAACGGCAGCACGGGGGCAACCCUGGUGGCGAGUGGCGAACGGGUGAGUAAUACAUCGGAACGUGCCCGGUCGUGGGGGAUAACGUAGCGAAAGUUACGCUAAUACCGCAUACGAUCUGAGGAUGAACGCGGGGGACCUUCGGGCCUCGCGCGAUCGGAGCGGCCGAUGUCAGAUUAGGUAGUUGGUGGGGUAAAGGCCUACCAAGCCGACGAUCCGUAGCUAGUCUGAGAGGACGACCAGCCACACUGGGACUGAGACACGGCCCAGACUCCUACGGGAGGCAGCAGUGGGGAAUUUUGGACAAUGGGCGCAAGCCUGAUCCAGCCAUACCGCGUGCAGGACGAAGGCCUUCGGGUUGUAAACUGCUUUUGUAUGGAACGAAAAGGCUCUGGCUAAUACCUGGGGCUCAUGACGGUACCGAAAGAAUAAGCACCGGCUAACUACGUG
rnacentral:rRNA from 1 species